CUGGGGUGUCCCAAGCUAUGGGUCUUUCUACCGUGUUAGGGCUGAGUGUCUGUUUGUGGCUUACCUGGGUCUCCCGUUCUGCUGGAGGAUCGUCCUCGAUACGGGUCUGUGAGCGGGUGGUCACGGGACAAGCAGCAGCAGUCGUGGGUAGAUAAGCUGAAGCCAGAGGGCCAAUGUCGUUGCCCAACACGACUUCAGCAGGUAAAUUGUCCAUG